GACGAACGCUGGCGGCGUGCUUAACACAUGCAAGUCGAACGGAAAGGCCCUGCUUGCAGGGUACUCGAGUGGCGAACGGGUGAGUAACACGUGGGUGAUCUGCCCUGCACUUCGGGAUAAGCUUGGGAAACUGGGUCUAAUACCGGAUAGGAGCCAUCUUUAGUGUGGUGGUUGGAAAGUUUUUUCGGUGUAGGAUGAGCUCGCGGCCUAUCAGCUUGUUGGUGGGGUAAUGGCCUACCAAGGCGGCGACGGGUAGCCGGCCUGAGAGGGUGUACGGCCACAGUGGGACUGAGAUACGGCCCAGACUCCUACGGGAGGCAGCAGUGGGGAAUAUUGCACAAUGGGCGCAAGCCUGAUGCAGCGACGCCGCGUGGGGGAUGAAGGCCUUCGGGUUGUAAACUCCUUUCGCUAGGGACGAAGCUUUUUUGUGACGGUACCUAGAUAAGAAGCACCGGCUAACUACGUG
rnacentral:rRNA from 1 species